rnacentral:rRNA from 1 species
AUUGAACGCUGGCGGAAUGCUUUACACAUGCAAGUCGAGCGGCAGCACGGGGGCAACCCUGGUGGCGAGCGGCGAACGGGUGAGUAACACAUCGGAACAUGCCCCGUCGUGGGGGAUAACACUUCGAAAGAAGUGCUAAUACCGCAUACGUCCUGAGGGAGAAAGCGGGGGAUCGCAAGACCUCGCGGGAUUGGAGUGGCCGAUGUCAGAUUAGCUAGGUGGUGGGGUAAAGGCCUACCAAGGCAACGAUCUGUAGCUGGUUUGAGAGGAUGAUCAGCCACACUGGGGCGGAGACACGGCCCAGACUCCUACGGGAGGCAGCAGUGGGGAAUUUUGGACAAUGGGGGCAACCCUGAUCCAGCCAUUCCGCGUGAGUGAAGAAGGCCUUCGGGUUGUAAAGCUCUUUCGGCAGGAACGAAACGGCGAGCUCUAACACAGCUUGCUAAUGACGGUACCUGAAGAAGAAGCACCGGCUAACUACGUGCCAGCAGCCGCAGUAAAAC